rnacentral:rRNA from 1 species
UACGUAGGGGGCUAGCGUUGUCCGGAGUUACUGGGCGUAAAGGGUUCGUAGGUGGCUUGUUAAGUCAGACGUGAAAUCCCUCGGCUCAACCGGGGAACUGCGUCUGAGACUGAUGAGCUCGAGUGCAGGAGAGGAACGCGGAAUUCCAGGUGUAGCGGUGAAAUGCGUAGAUAUCUGGAGGAACACCGGUGGCGAAGGCGGCGUUCUGGACUGCAACUGACACUGAGGAACGAAAGCCAGGGGAGCAAACGGG